rnacentral:rRNA from 1 species
GAUGAACGCUAGCGACAGGCUUAACACAUGCAAGUCGAGGGGCAGCAACACUUUCGGGUGGUUGGCGACCGGCGCACGGGUGAGUAACACGUAUGCAACCUACCUACUACUAGAGGAUAGCACGUUGAAAGACGGAUUAAUACUAUAUGACACAGGGGUGCCGCAUGGCAAUAUUUGUUAACGAUUUAUUGGUAGUAGAUGGGCAUGCGCAGGAUUAGCUAGUUGGUUAGGGUAACGGCUCACCAAGGCAACGAUCCUUAGGGGUUCUGAGAGGAAGGUCCCCCACACUGGUACUGAGACACGGACCAGACUCCUACGGGAGGCAGAAGUGAGGAAUAUUGGUCAAUGGACGAGAGUCUGAACCAGCCAAGUCGCGUGAAGGAAGACGGUAUUAUGUAUUGUAAACUUCUUUUAUAGGGGAAUAAAAUGCGGCACGUGUGCUGUUUUGUAUGUACCCUAUGAAUAAGCAUCGGCUAACUCCGUGCCAGCAGCCGCCGUAA